GUUUUAGCAAGUUUGAGGCUUAAUAAUAGAGAAGAGGUCCUUCUUUGUGAUUAUAGUGAUUUAGGGAGGAAGAGAAACAGUAUUUAUGUGUUACCAGAUUAUUUACGUAAAUGACAUAGGACAGUGGUUGACUGACUCUUCAAUCCCCAAUUUAUUUUUACUAUAAAUAAUCCUGGCACGGUGGGUGUAAAUGUCCAUAGCAUCUCUGGCAAAACCUUUCCACAGCUACAAUGUUAUCAUAUUGCUAUAGACGAUGAUUUUGGAAAGCUCAGGAGUAUCUCAAGAAGAAGCUCAGGAAGAAGCUGUAAGCUUGUGGCAGGCAGUACCAAGCUUGGAGGUGUUCUGCACGUUUUGGUCAUGUAAAGGACUCAGUUUGAGGAGGUCUUCUUACAAACCUGAUUCUCCUGGGGCAAGCUGGAGCUCUAGGAUGAUUGCAGCAAUGCUCCCGAUAAAC
ensembl:lncRNA